rnacentral:lncRNA from 1 species
GAGAGUAUCGAUCAUAUGAUGCAAGGAUUUCAGACAGGUAUCUGGAGCUGCAGGUAAAAGUUAGUUCCUAGUUUCUCUCUCUCUAAAUCAAAGUCUGCUUCCAUUGCAUGAUCAGUGACCAAGAUUGGACAGGCUUCCAUGAAUCAAAACUUAAUGGUGGUUGCCACCAAGUUCUGUUCACUUCUUUUUGACCUAUAUCCAAGAGUUCUUUGCGAAAGCGAGCCUUGAAGAUUGCCGCCUCCAAGUCCCGUUUCGAACUCUUUUAUUUGAGUCUUUAUGAAUCAAGCCUUAAUGGUUUUAGCCACCAAGUCUUGUUCAGACUCAUCCUAAUUAAACAAUAGAUCUUAUUUAUUUUUUAUUUAUAUUUAUUUAUUUAAUUUUUUUUUUAUAUAUACUCACUAACUAAUCUAGGGUCAAAAUUUAGAGAGAGAAAAUGUGAUAAAUAAUCUAAAC